GUUGGCGGCGUGGAUUAGGCAUGCAAGUCGAGCGAGAACCCCGCAAGGGGGGACAGCGGCGCAAGGGACAGUAAUGUGUAGAUCAUCUGCCCUCAGGCCCGGGAUAGCUGCGGGAAACUGCAGGUAAUACCGGAUAACAUCUCCGGAUCAAAGGUGUGAUUCCGCCUGAGGAUGAGUCUGCAUCCUAUUAGCUAGUUGGCAGGGUAACGGCCUACCAAGGCUUUGAUGGGUAGCGGGUGUGAGAGCACGACCCGCGUCAUUGGGACUGAGACACUGCCCAGACACCUACGGGUGGCUGCAGUCGAGAAUCUUCGGCAAUGGGCGCAAGCCUGACCGAGCGACGCCGCGUGUGGGAUGAAGGCCUUCGGGUUGUAAACCACUGUCAGAGGGGAUGAAAUGCAGGUGGGUUCUCCCAUCUGUUUGACAUA
rnacentral:rRNA from 1 species